UUCGUAGUUAAGUUGCAAAUGGCGGAUAGCGGAUGCCUUGGUGAUGAACGGCGAUGAAGGACGUGGAAAACUGCGAUAAGCUUCGGUAAGNUGUUAACAAGCGUUAUAACCGGAGAUUUCCGAAUGGGAAAACCUAAUCAAGNAAACCUUGAUUAUCAUAUAGUGAANACAUAGCUAUAUGAAGCGAACGGAGGGAAGUGAAACAUCUCAGUACCUCNAGGAAUANAAAUCAAANGAGAUUCCCUUAGUAGUGGCGAGCGAANGGGGANNAGCCCAAAACNUAGAUGUGUAAGUUUACAGACGUUGCAUUUNNGUGGUUGUGGGUACUAUUUUCAAUUNACUGUAAUNAAUUGNUAGAGUAAAAAAAUUAGAUAUUAGCAGAAGUAUUUGGGAAAAUACGCCANAGAAGGUGAUAGCCCUGUAAGCGAAAAUNUCUAGUCUCUAUUANUAGUUACCCGAGUAGAACGGAACACGAGAAAUUCUGUUUGAAUCUNGGAGGACCACCUUCNAAGGCUAAAUACGUGUCAUCAUCCGAUAGUGAACUAGUACCGUGAGGGAAAGGUGAAAAGAACCCCUGUUAGGGGAGUGAAAUAGAAUCUGAAACUGUCUGCCAACAAUCGGUAGGAGGGCUAUAUCUGGGUUUACUCAGAGAUGCCUGACUGCGUACCUUUUGCAUAAUGGGCCAGGGACUUAUUUUUAAUAGCAAGAUUAAGCCGUUAGGUGUAGUCGUAGCGAAAGCGAGUCUGAAUAGGGCGUUAGUUAUUGGAAAUAGACCCGAAGCGGGACGAUCUAGCCAUGGGCAGGCUGAAGCCUCCGGAAACGGAUGUGGAGGGCCGAACCGUUGAAGGGUGAAAACUUCUCGGAUGACCUGUGGUUAGGAGUGAAAGGCUAAUCAAGUUCCGUGAUAGCUGGUUCUCCUCGAAAUAUAUUUAGGUAUAGCCUCAUGCGUUCUCCUCUGGGGGUAGAGCACUGAUUGGACUAGGGGGUCGAAAGACUUACCAAACCCUAUCAAACUCCGAAUACCAGAGAUAGUAGCAUGGGAGUCAGUCUAUGGGUGCUAAGGUCCAUAGACGAAAGGGAAACAACCCAGAUCGCAAUCUAAGGUCCCCAAAUCUAGACUAAGUGGUUAAGGACGUAAAUUUUCAUAGACAGCCAGGAGGUAGGCUUAGAAGCAGCCAUCCUUUAAAGAUAGAGUAACAUCUCACUGGUCGAUGAGAGUUUGCACCGAAAAUGAAUCGGGGCUAAGUCUAGUACCGAAGAUGCGGAUUGUAUGUUUACAUACAGUGGUAGAGGAGCGUUCUUAUUGGAAUGAAGCAUUACCGUAAGGAGAUGUGGACUUAUAAGAAGUGAGAAUCCUGGCAUGAGUAGCGAUAAAAAUGGUGAGAAUCCAUUUCACCGUAAGCGUAAGGGUUCCUGGGCAAGGCUCGUCCUCCCAGGGUUAGUCGGGACCUAAGGCGAGGCCGAAAGGCGUAGUCGAUGGAAAACAGGUUAAUAUUCCUGUACCACCUAUU
rnacentral:rRNA from 1 species